UACUGUAGAAUAAGAAAUUGUAUGAAGCUGCUGGAGAAGGGAACAUUAAUAGUGUUCAGUCAUUAUUAUCACAAGGAGCUAAUGUAACUUAUCAGGAUCAGGAUCAUUGGAAUGAAGACACUCCUCUUCAUAUUGCAGCAUUAAGAGGACAUAAUGAAGUUGUAUCAGUUUUAUUGUCUAAUGGUGCUGAUCCAAACAUUAAA